CGGAGGGUGCGAGCGUUGUCCGGAAUCACUGGGCGUAAAGGGCGCGUAGGCGGCAUGCCAAGCGUGUGGUGAAAGCCCGGGGCUCAACCCCGGGUCGGCCGUGCGGACUGGCGUGCUCGAGCACUGUAGGGGCGGGUGGAAUUCCGGGUGUAGCGGUGGAAUGCGUAGAGAUCCGGAAGAACACCGGUGGCGAAGGCGGCCCGCUGGGCAGGAAGGAAGCGUAAGCUUCCGGCUGACGCUGAGGCGCGACAGCGUGGGGAGCAAACAGGAUUAGAUACCCUGGUAGUCCACGCCGUAAACGAUGGGCACUAGGUGCCUGGGGGAGCGACCCCCCGGGUGCCGGCGCUAACGCAUUAAGUGCCCCGCCUGGGGAGUACGGCCGCAAGGCUG
rnacentral:rRNA from 1 species